AUAGUAUUACGGCUUUUUGCUAAGAUUAAGUGUAGUAUAUAUAUGUUCUUAUCAAUUUAAUAUCCGAUAUGUGGGCUAGUAGUAUACACGAUAUUAAAUUUGUUUUUUGAAGAGAAGAAUCCAUCACAAUAGCUGACUAUUGGAUCUCUUAUGGAUUGUUUUUGCGUUGUAAUUUUAUUAUGAGCAAUUCUAUGAUG